rnacentral:rRNA from 1 species
UCCUACGGGAGGCAGCAGUGGGGAAUUUUGGACAAUGGGCGCAAGCCUGAUCCAGCCAUGCCGCGUGAGUGAAGAAGGCCUUCGGGUUGUAAAGCUCUUUCGGCCGGGAAGAAAUCGCAUUCUCUAAUAUAGGAUGUGGAUGACGGUACCGGACUAAGAAGCACCGGCUAACUACGUGCCAGCAGCCGCGGUAAUACGUAGGGUGCGAGCGUUAAUCGGAAUUACUGGGCGUAAAGCGUGCGCAGGCGGUUUUGUAAGACAGAUGUGAAAUCCCCGGGCUUAACCUGGGAACUGCGUUUGUGACUGCAAGGCUAGAGUACGGCAGAGGGGGGUGGAAUUCCUGGUGUAGCAGUGAAAUGCGUAGAUAUCAGGAGGAACACCGAUGGCGAAGGCAGCCCCCUGGGCCUGUACUGACGCUCAUGCACGAAAGCGUGGGGAGCAAACAGGAUUAGAUACCCUGGUAGUCCACGCCCUAAACGAUGUCGACUAGUCGUUCGGAGCAGCAAUGCACUGAGUGACGCAGCUAACGCGUGA